rnacentral:rRNA from 1 species
AUUGAACGCUGGCGGCAUGCUUUACACAUGCAAGUCGAACGGCAACACGGGCUUCGGCCCGGCGGCGAGUUGCCGACGGGUGAGUAAUGCAUACGAACGUGCCCUGUCGUGGGGGAUAGGCCGGCGAAAGCCGGAUUAAUCCCGCAUACGACCUGAGGGUGAAAGCGGGGGACCAAAAGUGCUCGCGCUAUUUGCUCUGACGAUGUCGGAUUAGCUAGUUGGUUGGGUAAAGGCUUACCAAGGCGACGAACCGUAGCUGGUCUGAGAGGACGACCAGCCACACUGGAACUGAGACACGGCCCAGACUCCUACGGGAGGCAGCAGUGGGGAAUUUUGGGCAAUGGGGGCAAGCCUGAUCCAGCCAUGCCGCGUGCGGGAAGAAGGCCUUCGGGUUGUAAACCGCUUUUGUUCGGGAAGAAAUCCUCUGGGCUAAUACCCCGGGGGGAUGACGGUACCGGAAGAAUAAGCACCGGCUAACUACGUG